UGACAAUGACAGUUAAAUAAGCUAUGUACAGAAUAAUGGAUAAAUGCUAAAAGUUGUUCAAUCAAACUUCCAAAGUGAAUAAUAAUGCUGUCUUUGCUUCAAUUUCUGGUCUAUUUACAGGUUGUUGCUACCGAAUACUGACAGAAAAAGAUGUCAAGUAUUGGUCAACUCAUCAGGCGCGGUGCAGUUAGAUUGCAGAUCAGAAUGAUUCGGUAAUGACGCCAACCAGGAAUCAACCUGUAUUUUGGAAGCACUUGAGCAUUCAUAUCUCAGCCCAUGACGAGUUGAAAUAAAAAAGCAAUAUCGAGUAUCACCGUUGUCUCGUGUCAGACAAGGCAUGGCUCCAACUUCAACAACAUCAGAUAGAAGAGUUGAGUCUUGAGGACUCAGAUCUAUGGAUGAUGAAUACAAGAAAAUACCCGAUCCCUGAAGAACAAGAAAUUUAGGAAGCCAGUCAUCAACUUCAGUGUCAUCAUCGAUUGGAAGAGGUUCGCCUGGUAAAGCCUCCCAUCUCGUUCUCAGAUACAAAUAACCCGACAUGCGAGCAGACUGCAGUAUUUCGUCAAUAUGUUCUAAUUGAGCUUUUAAAUGAGCUUCUCUUUCUUCCAAAGCAGCAAUUUCUGACCGAAGAGAUUCUACUUCUACAGCAGUUAGAACUACCUUUUUCUGGUCAUCUGUACCAGAUAUCCAAGGUAGCUUUCUGGGGCUAAACAUAUUCAACAUUGACACAGAACUUCUCAAUUUUGUUCAAGUCAAUCUAUAAAUAGAUCAACUAUUGAAGCUUGAAAACAAUCUCUCAGAAAAAUUCUAGUGCUCGAGGUACACCACCAUGAAGUUAAUAUUUUCCAGCAAACCCACAAAUCGGUGACUUUAUAAUUAAUUAGGCGAAACGAAGAUACGAAAACGAAGACGAAG
rnacentral:misc_RNA from 1 species